AGCAGUCUUCAAUUAUACAAUAUAAUGUUAUCAACUACAGUUACCAUGUGAUACAUCAGAUCCUCAGACUUUAUUGAUCUCAAAGCUGAAAGUUUGUAUCCUUUCUUAAGACCAGUUUGGCAAGGCCAGUCAUUAAACAGUGUGGAGUUGAAGCUAAAUAGAGAGUUCAAAACAAAGUGAAAGGCCAGGCUAAAAAAUGAAUAUGGUCAUUAAUUUAUCUAUGGAUCCCAAUAUGUGAUCAUUCUGCUUCAAUCAUUCCCCUAGUCAUUCAGUCAACCAAUUUUAUGAGUCAUCUACUAUGUAAUCUAUUGAUUAAGGGGAAACUGCCAUAGGGUAUGUUUAUCUACUCCAAUAGUGUGUGCAUGGUACAACAAUGGAACAAUAAAUGGGAGGACCCAGUUUUGCCUGAAGGGAGGGAAGAGCCAUCAAGGAAGACUGCCCAGAAAAGCUGAUGCUCGAGGCAAGACUUCUGGGGGAGAAGCAUGCCAAACCAGAAAAGAUAAGGACACCAGUUAUCACAGAAUUUGUGUGACAGCACUUAAACGAUACACACUGACUUUGGGACAUCCAACUUUUACCAGGUACUGUUUUAGGAGAAUAAUCAAUAGCGUUUAGUGUAAUGCAAAUUACACUAAAUUUUGGCUGUCAAACUCCAAAGCAUAGAGAAAUUAUUAAGAGUUAAACACAGUGAAGAUCUCUAGGGUCCCUAAAGCGCAGCUGUAGGUUCAGAAAGUUGUACUACAUUUUCUUACAUGGCUACCAAAUCCUGCUUCUAUUUCCUCAUCUAGGAGGAGAUAAGGACUGAAUUUGGUGUGUCUGAUUCCUUUGAGAGGAAGAUAUGAAUUUGAUUAAGGAGUCAACAUUCAUAUUUUUCUGAUAAUUAGCAAUAACUUGUGGCUAGGGAGCUAAACAUCACUCCUGUCCUGAGAAUGUAAAUGUGUGUACUUGUUUUGCUCCAAGGUUGUCUUUCAUUUCAUAGUUUUUCCAUUUUUGUAAUACUCUGGUAUUAACUGGAGGGGCCACUAACAUUUGUCUUAACGUCUUGAUGUGUGUGGGAGAAGGAGGUGGGCGUGUGUGUGGGUAUGCGCACGUGCGAACAAAUGUUUUGCUGUUGCUCUCUUAACACCUGCAUAAAGGCAUGUGUAGGAUAAGGUGGAAUAUUUAAGAGUGUGAAGGGAGGCACACAUGGAAAGAGAAUCGAUGCAUUAUAAAAAUACAAAUAGAAGCCUCUGUGAAUAUGUAUGAAAGAAUGAUACACUGUAAAUGGAGCAUGCAAUUUUUGAAAGAAUAAAGCUCUAAAAUUUGGCUGUUCA
rnacentral:lncRNA from 1 species